rnacentral:rRNA from 1 species
AGCAGCCGCGGUAAUUCCAGCUCCAAUAGCGUAUAUUAAAGUUGCUGCAGUUAAAAAGCUCGUAGUUGAAUUUCGGGACCAUCACGUCGGUCGUGCCUCGGUACGUACUGGCAUUGUUGGUUUCUCCCUUCUGAAGAACCUUGAUGUCAUUAAUUUGGUGUCUUGGGGAAUCAGGACUGUUACUUUGAAAAAAUUAGAGUGUUUAAAGCAGGCUCGCGCUUGAAUACAUUAGCAUGGAAUAAUGAAAUAGGACGUUUGAUUCUAUUUUGUUGGUUUCUAGGAUCGACGUAAUGAUUAAUAGGGAUAGUUGGGGGCAUUAGUAUUCAAUUGUCAGGGGUGAAAUUCUUGGAUUUAUUGAAGACUAACUACUGCGAAAGCAUUUGCCAAGGAUGUUUUCAUUAAUCAAGAACGAAAGUUAGGGGAUCGAAGACGAUCAGAUACCGUCGUAGUCUUAACCAUAAACUAUGCCGACUAGGGAUCGGAUGAUGUUAAUUUUUAAUGACUCAUUCGGCGCCUUACG